AUCCAGCGUCUCUCGCUCACCUAAAAGCACACGCACGACACAUCUCCUCCCUCAGUCCCUCGAUCCAGAUCCAGAUCCAGAUCCACAUCGCCUCCGCCUAACUCUCACCGAUCCAGAUCGCCGCCGCCGCCCCUCCGCCACCCAACGCCAUCCAUCCUCCCUUCCUUUGCCGGCAUCCCUUCCUCCCAACAACCUCUUUGCCCGCGUCCAUGGCAAGGAUCCGAAGCAGGUCAGCCGGCGGCGGCCAUGGCGCAUCUCUCUUCCUCACCCCAUAGCCGGCGGCGGCCAUGGCGCAUCUCUUCCUCACCCCAUAGCCGGCGGCGGCCAUGGCACAUCUCAUCCUCACCCCAUAGCCGGCGGCGGCCAUGGCAGGUCACCAGAGACGGCCGGUGCGGGAGGGCUUCAACUCUUCUCAGGCGGGGCGGCCGUCGUCAAGGUCAGCGCCAGCGGGAAGACCCAGGCGGGAGGGCGGGGCGAGGAAGAAGCCCCCGUUCCGCCUCGCAGCGGAUGACACCAAGCCCGUGCUCCGCGAACCGAUCCCGCGUUCUGAAUCCAUGGAGACCGAGUAGGCCGUGCUGUGGCUGGCGCCCUUCCCCUGAAGUCCGGUCGCGUCCUAAUGGAUGAGUACAAGGAUUAAUCUUGCAUCUAUGCUUUUGACAGCUUGAAGUACAUCAGCGUUGAGAUGUGGCAGGUUAUUGCUAUGAAGUUCAGUGACUUGCACAUCGCUUCCUUAUGUUCUUUUUACUUCCAGAGCUACAGUGCUCUCAUACUAUCAUUGCAUUGCCUGCUGUUUUGCUGCAUACCUAUAUCUCAAGUAUUAUACUUAGUUUUGUUUAGACGGAAAACUACUGGUGUAAUACGCAAACAACAAUGGAGCUAGUGAUGCUAUGUUAACAUUAAUGUGUAUCAAUUCUAGCUUAUAUUGGUAUCUUGCGAUCCUGUUCUAAUUAAUGUAUAUAUUUCAAGCCCUUAUUUUCAUGUCUAAAUGCGUGCACCGAAGUUCAAUUACUUUAUGAGAAAGUGUUGGUGCAAUUUUCAGUUUAUUAAAUACAAAAUAGCUUGCCCCUUUCAGUUCUGGCAUCCCCACUGUGAUCUUUAUGAUGCUGUUGUUUCUCACUAAUAUAGUAUUUACUAUUAUUCAUUGAUAACUAUGUCUCAAUUUGGUUGUUGUACUGUUAUUUAUGCACAGACUGCCUACAAGUUACAUGUUGUCAGAUGUUGCUGUGUAAUACAAAAAUAUUAAUGCUCAAAUAUGAUGAUGUGGCCUGCAGCGCACCUGCUUCGACGCCGACCCGUCCGUCAUCGCCUUCAAGGAUGAUGAGGACACCGCAGGCGCCGUCGGCCUCGACGGCGGUUUCCACCGCUACCACAUUGUCGUCACCUACUAGUUCCACGACGUCGUUUGGUCCAUCGAGUCCUUCUGCAGCUGCUGUCACUGCUCCUUCCACAGUUUGGGUGGGACUCGUCAGAUCGGCCUCCUAGUUUCCCAUUUCAGGAUGACUAGUGAUGCAGCACACCAAGCAGUAGCAGGCAUACGAAGUAGCAGCAGGGGGAGGGGCUCUCUCGAACGUCGCCGCUGCCACUCAUCGCCAUUGUCAUUGAUUGAUGAUGGAUGAUCAAUGUUAGUUUAGCUCGGUUGCUGUUCGUUUAGCUCCUUGGUAGUCACUACCUCUCUUGCAAGUGUCUACUGCUGCUGGUAGAAAUAGAAAUGGUAGCUGUAGUCCCAUGUAGUUGUACUACCAUGUAGUUCCUCUACUCGUCAUGUAGUCCCUCUACUCGGACUGCCCUUUGUUGCUUCAUUUCUAUGUUAAUUUAGUCUUUGUUGAAUGUAUCUACUAUUUACUGUUGUGGUUGUUGAAGAAAUAAAAUGGUUUGGAUA